rnacentral:rRNA from 1 species
GACGAACGCUGGCGGCGUGCUUAACACAUGCAAGUCGAACGAUGAACCCGGAGCUUGCUCCGGUGGAUUAGUGGCGAACGGGUGAGUAACACGUGAGUAACCUGCCCUUGACUCUGGGAUAACUGCGGGAAACUGUAGCUAAUACCGGAUACGACCCUCGGCGGCAUCGCCAGGGGGUGGAAAGAAUUUCGGUCAAGGAUGGACUCGCGGCCUAUUAGCUAGUUGGUGAGGUAAUGGCUCACCAAGGCUACGAUCAGUAGCUGGUCUGAGAGGAUGACCAGCCACAUUGGGACUGAGACACGGCCCAAACUCCUACGGGAGGCAGCAGUGGGGAAUCUUGCACAAUGGGCGCAAGCCUGAUGCAGCAACGCCGCGUGAGGGAUGACGGCCUUCGGGUUGUAAACCUCUUUUAGCAGGGAAGAAGCGAAAGUGACGGUACCUGCAGAAAAAGCACCGGCUAACUACGUGCCAGCCGCCGCCGUAA